CCUACGGGAGGCAGCAGUGGGGAAUAUUGGACAAUGGGGGCAACCCUGAUCCAGCGAUGCCGCGUGAGUGAUGAAGGCCUUCGGGUUGUAAAGCUCUUUUGCACGCGACGAUGAUGACGGUAGCGUGAGAAUAAGCCCCGGCUAACUCUGUGCCAGCAGCCGCGGUAAU
rnacentral:rRNA from 1 species